GACGAACGCUGGCGGCGUGCCUAAUACAUGCAAGUAGAACGCUGAAGAGAGGAGCUUGCUCUUCUUGGAUGAGUUGCGAACGGGUGAGUAACGCGUAGGUAACCUGCCUGGUAGCGGGGGAUAACUAUUGGAAACGAUAGCUAAUACCGCAUAACAACAGUUGUUGCAUGACAGCUGUUUAAAAGAUGCAAUUGCAUCACUACCAGAUGGACCUGCGUUGUAUUAGCUAGUUGGUGAGGUAACGGCUCACCAAGGCGACGAUACAUAGCCGACCGGAGAGGGUGGACGGCCACACUGGGACUGAGACACGGCCCAGACGCCUACGGGAGGCAGCAGUAGGGAAUCUUCGGCAAUGGGGGGAACCCUGACCGAGCAACGCCGCGUGAGUGAAGAAGGUUUUCGGAUCGUAAAGCUCUGUUGUAAGAGAAGAACGGGUGUGAGAGUGGAAAGUUCACACUGUGACGGUAUCUUACCAGAAAGGGACGGCUAACUACGUG
rnacentral:rRNA from 1 species